UGAAAGUAAAAAUAGUUUCCGUCUCUCAGACAGAGUCACUGCACCAUUACACUUCCUGCUGUAACGGACUGAUACAGGAGGAAUAUAUGUGUAUAUGUAGACAGGGGACAUUUUAAACACGGUGUUUAAACCCUAAUGAGUUAAAUACCGAAUAUGUGGCGCUCUGAAAUGUGGAAACACUUCAGUUAAAGUAUCAGAUGUGUUUAUAUGAGGAACAGGAAAGGAUUUUAUUAGUCUGAAUCUACAGAAACUUAUAUUUCAAGAAAAGAACAGAGGAGAUUACAGUAAAGAUGGGGGUAAGUAAAUAACUCGACUUCACACUAAUAGUAAAAGCUGAUAUUUUAUAAACUUAUCACAUAUAUUACAUUUUAAUCCAGGAAUCAAAUAGAAACAUAAAGAUGAUUUUCAGAUCAUGUUUAUGUGAAGGAGUCUGAUCAGUAAGUGAGAUUCCACUUCCAUCAGUCAGCUUCUUUCCCACAAUGCACCUGUGUGUAACCUCACUGCAGUGUAAUAAUGUACAGAGACGUUUACCAUGUCGAGUAAAAGACACAACAAACACGCAGCAUAUAUCACACACCACUGACAGACUCCAUCAGAAUGUUACACAAUAAACAUAAAUCACAGCUUUAACAGUUUUCAGUGUUUGUAGACAGAAUAAUUGUCAUCAGUCGCUCUGCGUAACAAUCACACCAUGUUUUGUAAAAGCACCGAAGAGUCGACUCGGCCUGGCGUUUAGUGUCUUUAAGCUAACGGUAGUAAGUAGUGUUAAUGCACACAGCAUAAAGACAACCUGACUGAAAUGAUAACAGAAGUCCUUCACUUCAUUUCUAAAACCUCCUUCAUAGGAGAGAGGGAUUUGGGAGUGAAAGAGAGAAAAACAGAAGGAGAUCACGCAUCUUCUCUAAUCUACUGCGACAUGUCACAUUCUGUCGUAACCAGUAUAUAGAUGAGGCAGCAGUAAAGAACAUCAUUCUGUUAUCUGUUCAGGUUUUACAUUGAUAAAUGUCUGUGUUUAUAAUUAAAGGAAGUGAGAAUCUGAUAUUCUGUAUAUUCCUUUUUCUACUACAAUAGCACAGAGAUAUAUUACAAAAUAUUUCACUAUAUAUUUAAAAUACACAGGGGGAAAUGUACAAAUACUGACAUACUGUAUAUUGGUAAAGACAUGCAGAGAUCAGAAAAUAGGAUUUUCCAAUAAAUCACA